rnacentral:rRNA from 1 species
UACGUAGGGUGCAAGCGUUGUCCGGAAUUAUUGGGCGUAAAGAGCUCGUAGGCGGUUUGUCGCGUCUGCUGUGAAAACCUAAGGCUCAACCCUGGGCUUGCAGUGGGUACGGGCAGACUAGAGUGCGGUAGGGGUGACUGGAAUUCCUGGUGUAGCGGUGGAAUGCGCAGAUAUCAGGAGGAACACCGAUGGCGAAGGCAGGUCACUGGGCCGCAACUGACGCUGAGGAGCGAAAGCAUGGGGAGCGAACAGG